AUUGAACGCUGGCGGCAGGCCUAACACAUGCAAGUCGAACGAGUGGCGGACGGGUGAGUAAUGUCUGGGAAACUGCCCGAUGGAGGGGGAUAACUACUGGAAACGGUAGCUAAUACCGCAUACCAUCGGAUGUGCACAGAUGGGAUUAGCUCGUAGGUGGGGUAAUGGCUAACCUAGGCGACGAGCACUAGCUGGUCUGAGAGGAUGACCAGCCACACUGGAACUGACACACGGGCCAGACUACUACGUAAGGCAGCAGUGGGGAAUCUUGCACAAUGGGCGCAAGCCUGGUGCAGCCAUGCCGAGUGUAUGAAGAAGGCCUUCGGGUUGUAAAGUACUUUAAGCGAGGAGGCGUUACUCGCAGAAGAAGCACCGGCUAACUCCGUGCCAGCAGCCGCGGUAAUUC
rnacentral:rRNA from 1 species